GGACUGGCACCCGUAACCGAGGAGGCCCGGGAGAACCAGCUCAUAACCUUAUACUUCCCAUGCAUACCUCUAUGACAACCCAAAAUUCGAACAGCAUCAUGUCGCAUAUAAAAGGAAAUAAUCACCUGUAUAAGCUCGAGCACACAUAUACAUGUAUAUACAAUACUUGGCCAUUGGAGCCAUCACGUCUAUUAACAAAACACCACCUUGACUGUACAUUAGGUCUACAAAGCCUCUAGACAAUACACAGAGUUUAACUAAGGUCAGGACACACCCCGCCAUAUAACUAACUUCUAUACAAUACC
rnacentral:lncRNA from 1 species